GUCCACGCCCUAAACGGUGGGCAUUAGGUGUAGGGCUCGUAAGGGUUCUGUGCCGAAGGGAAACCAUUAAAUGCCCCGCCUGGGGAGUACGGCCGCAAGGUUGAAACUCAAAGGAAUUGACGGGGGCCCGCACAAGCGGUGGAGCAUGUGGUUUAAUUCGACGCUACGCGAAGAACCUUACCUGGGCUUGACAUGUAGGUGGUAAGAACCCGAAAGGGCGAUGACUUGGGGGUAACCCCUUGAGCUUACACAGGUGCUGCAUGGCUGUCGU
rnacentral:rRNA from 1 species